UCCCAAGCCAGAUCAAGCUCUAAAACAAGGAUCUUGGACCAUCCAAGAGGAUUUUUAAUAGUGUUGACCGAAAAUCUAUGGGAUUGGAAAGACAAGGGAAUCAAAGGAAAAGCAAGAGGAAAGCUAUGUUAUAAGGUCAAUCAAUGGUGGGCAA